rnacentral:rRNA from 1 species
UACGUAGGGGGCAAGCGUUGUCCGGAAUUAUUGGGCGUAAAGCGCGCGCAGGCGGCCGAUUAAGUCUGGUGUUUAACCCCGGGGCUCAACCCCGGGUCGCACUGGAAACUGGUUGGCUUGAGUACAGAAGAGGAAAGUGGAAUUCCACGUGUAGCGGUGAAAUGCGUAGAGAUGUGGAGGAACACCAGUGGCGAAGGCGGCUCACUGGUCCGGUACUGACGCUGAGGUGCGAAAGCGUGGGGAGCAAACAGG